rnacentral:rRNA from 1 species
GGUCAAGCUACAAAGAGCUCACGGCGGAUACCUUGGCACACAGAGGCGAUGAAGGACGUGGUUACCUGCGAUAAGUCUCGGGGAGCUGGAAACACGCUUUGAUCCGGGAAUUUCCGAAUGGGGCAACCCCUAGAACGGCCAGCUGAAUCCAUAGGCUGGCGCGAGCCAACC